rnacentral:rRNA from 1 species
AACGAACGCUGGCGGCGCGCCUAACACAUGCAAGUCGAACGAGAAAGGGAGCAAUCCUGAGUAAAGUGGCGCACGGGUGAGUAACGCGUAGGUAAUCUACCUUUGCGACCGGAAUAACUAGCCGAAAGGUUAGCUAAUACUGGAUAGAGCGCAUUAGACGUAAAGUUUAGUGCGGGAAAGGGGGGUGUAGCAAUACAUCUUUCGCGCUGAGAUGAGCCUGCGUCCCAUUAGCUAGUUGGUAGGGUAAGAGCCUACCAAGGCGAUGAUGGGUAGCUGGUCUGAGAGGACGAUCAGCCACACUGGAACUGAAACACGGUCCAGACUCCUACGGGAGGCAGCAGUGGGGAAUCUUGCGCAAUGGAGGAAACUCUGACGCAGCGACGCCGCGUGGGUGAAGAAGGCCUUCGGGUUGUAAAGCCCUGUCGAACGGGAAAAAGGUUAUAGUGCUAAUACCACUGUGAUUUGAUGGUACCGUGCGAGGAAGCACCGGCUAACUCUGUGCCAGCAGCCGCAGUAAUAC